rnacentral:rRNA from 1 species
UACCAGCACCCCGAGUGGUCGGGACGUUUAUUGGGCCUAAAGCAUCCGUAGCCGGUUCUACAAGUCUUCCGUUAAAUCCAACUGCUUAACAGGUGGGCUGCGGAAGAUACUAUAGAGCUAGGAGGCGGGAGAGGCAAGCGGUACUCGAUGGGUAGGGGUAAAAUCCGUUGAUCCAUUGAAGACCACCAGUAGCGAAGGCGGCUUGCCAGAACGCGCUCGACGGUGAGGGAUGAAAGCUGGGGGAGCAAACCGG